CAGCCGCCACGGGAAUACGGAGGGUGCGAGCGUUAAUCGGAAUCACUGGGCGUAAAGCGUACGCAGGCGGUUUGUUAAGUCAGAUGUGAAAUCCCCGAGCUUAACUCGGGAACUGCAUUUGAAACUGGCAGGCUAGAGUCUCGUAGAGGGGGGUAGAAUUCCAGGUGUAGCGGUGAAAUGCGUAGAGAUCUGGAGGAAUACCGGUGGCGAAGGCGGCCCCCUGGACGAAGACUGACGCUCAGGUACGAAAGCGUGGGGAGCAAACAGGAUUAGAUACCCGGGUAGUCCCUGUCUCUUAUAC
rnacentral:rRNA from 1 species